rnacentral:rRNA from 1 species
CAGUCGCCGCGGUAAUCCGUAGGCGGCAAGCGUUGUCCGGAAUUAUUGGGCGUAAAUGGCUCGCAGGCGGUUUCUUAAGUCUGAUGUGAAAGCCCCCGGCUCAACCGGGGAGGGUCAUUGGAAACCGGGAAACUUGAGUGCAGAAGAGGAGAGUGGAAUUCCACGUGUAGCGGUGAAAUGCGUAGAGAUGUGGAGGAACACCAGUGGCGAAGGCGACUCUCUGGUCUGUAACUGACGCUGAGGCACGAAAGCGUGGGGAGCAAACAGGAUUAGAUACCCGCGUAGUCCCUGUCUCUUAUAC